AACUCUCUUCCUUUUCCCCCCAUUGCUGUAAUUCCCCCACUUUUAUUUAUUUUUUCCUGCAAGCGAUCUUGCAUCGAAAUGGUGGUGAUGGGCGUGCAGCUCGUGGUCUCUCUGCUGGUGGCCAGCGUCAUGCAGAAGAUGGCACCCCACUGGUCCUUUGCCCGGUGGCUACUUUGCAAUGGAAGCCUGCGCCGCUACAAGCAUCCGUCAGAAGAGGAACUCCUCGCGCUGGCGGGCAAGCAGAAGCCGAAAGGCAAGCGGGACCGGAGGCUCAACGGCCUGGCGGAUGACAAACCGUCGUCUGUUCCCAGAGAUAUCGAUUUGCACCUGGAGAGCAGCACCAUCACGGCCGUGGAUGCUCUGGUCCUCUGCUAUUUCCUGGAGUAUCAGUGGUACGUGGACUUUGCGGCCUACUCCACUCUGGUCUACCUCUUCACGGAAGGCUACUACUGCUUGGUGGAUCCCCGGAAAGAAGCGAACAUUGGAAUCCUCUGGUGUCUUCUGACGGUCAUUUUCUCCAUCAAAAUCUUCUUCAUGGUGAUGCGACACUAUUUCCGCUCCAAGGAGGGGGGCGAGCGCUCCGUGUGCCUGGCGUUCGCCUUCUUCUUCCUCCUGAUCGCCAUGUUGGUCCUGGUCGUCCGCGAAGACUAUCUCGAAUUCGGCCUCGACACAGGGCUCACUAACGUCUACGAUAACCUGGAGGUCUUCUUAAAGGAUCAGGGAUGGGAGUGGACGAUCCCUGUGAGCAAGCUGACCAUCAAACUGGGGAUCGUGGCCCUGUGCUCCUUCGUCGGGGGCUGCUUGACCUUCCCGGGGCUGCGGCUGGCUCAGACCCACCUAGACGCCCUGAAGAUGACGGCGGACCGGCCCUUGACCCAGCUUGUCCUCCAUGCCAGCUUUCUCGCCCCUGUGAUUGUGGUGUUGAUGUGGAUCAAGCCCAUUUCCCGGGACCUCCUGUUGCAUGCCCCCAUGGGCAAGCAGACCGUGCAGAUCAUGUCCGACCCCACCUACAACUCCGUGCGCCUCUGGACGAUCGUGGCGCUGUGCCUCCUCCGCCUGUCCGUCGCCCGGCACCAUCUCCAAGCCUACCUGAACCUCGCCGAGCGAUGGGUGGAGCAGAUGAAGCGGGAGGCUGGCCGGAUCACGGUGCUAGAGAUUCAGCGGAAGGUCACCAGAAUCUACUGCUACGUGACGGUGGUCAGCUUGCAGUAUCUCGCCCCGAUCCUCCUCACCCUGCACUGUACCUUCCUCCUCAAAACUCUGGGGGAAUAUUCCUGGGGGUUCUACCCAGAACCUGCCUUGAUGUCUCCAGCGGUUGAUGCGUUCCCCGUUCCUCAGGCUUCCACCUCCUCCGAUGAAACCGAAAAGGACGAUAUUCAAGCUACCGUGGAACAGAUCACGGGAGCUCUCGGCACGUUUGGAACGGUCUUCACGCCGCUCUUCUAUCGCGGGCUGCUCUCGUUCUUCACCUGGUGGGUGGCCGCCUGCCAGGUCAUCUCCACCCUCUUUGGCCUUUAUUUCCACCAGCACCUGGCCGCGUCCUAACGACACGGAUCUCCAACUACUCUUAGCUGCACGGCCUGCGUUUGGGCCGGGACCUUGGACUCCCCUUGCGGUUACGACACGCUGCAACACUUGGUCUGUUGCUGCGCUGCAACCAGGGUUUCGUCGGCGGACUCCUUUUCUUUCCUCAAAAACAUGGCCUCCGGGAAACCACCCCCCACAUUUGACUGGGUUCACAUUUGCUGCCAAUUUUGGUGUACUCCGAGACUAGUGGUAAAUUCCGGGAGGACCCUGGUUGCUGUUACCCGAUGGUCGGACCCUAUUCUUUCGGAAGUAUGUUAUUAACCGGCAGGCAGCUGCUGCCUGAGCACCUCAGCUUUCAUUAAAAAUAUGUAUCAAGUUUCUAGACCUCAUGGGAUCCAGA